rnacentral:rRNA from 1 species
GUCUCGCAACGAGCGCAACCCCUUUCUUUAGUUACCAUCAUUUAGUUGGGGACUCUAAAGAUACUGCCCCGGUUAACGGGGAGGAAGGUGGGGAUGACGUCAAGUCCUCAUGGCCUUUAUGCCUAGGGCUACACACGUGCUACAAUGGACUGUGCAAAGGGUCGCCAGCCUGUGAAGGUGAGCCAAUCCCAUAAAGCAGUUCGUAUUUCGGAUUGGAGUCUGCAACUCGACUCCAUGAAGCUGGAAUCGCUAGUAAUCGUGGAUCAGAAUGCCACGGUGAAUACGUCCCGGGCCUUGUACACACCGCCCGUCACACCUU